UCCUCCCUCAACCCUCGUGUUUGGUGUUGGGUCUUUCUUGGGGGAGAGCCGCCUGCCGUCCCGGCAUCCGACUCGCCCCAGACCCCAAAGACAAUGGCGGCGUCCGAUGGGAUCCCCGGUGCAACGAGCUUCUCCGGAGCACGCACCGUGGCGGUUUCCCUCGGCCCGGUCGUAUAACCUUUUACUUUAACCA
rnacentral:misc_RNA from 1 species